rnacentral:rRNA from 1 species
GCAGCCGCCGCGGGAAUACGUAGGGUGCGAGCGUUAAUCGGAAUUACUGGGCGUAAAGCGUGCGUAGGCGGUUUGUUAAGUCUGUUGUGAAAUCCCCGGGCUCAACCUGGGAAUGGCAAUGGAUACUGGCAAGCUAGAGUGUGUCAGAGGAUGGUGGAAUUCCCGGUGUAGCGGUGAAAUGCGUAGAGAUCGGGAGGAACAUCAGUGGCGAAGGCGGCCAUCUGGGACAACACUGACGCUGAGGCACGAAAGCGUGGGGAGCAAACAGGAUUAGAGACCCCCGUAGUCCCUGUCUCUUAUAC